GACGAACGCUGGCGGCGUGCUUAACACAUGCAAGUCGAGCGGUAAGGCCCUUCGGGGUACCCGAGCGGCGAACGGGUGAGUAACACGUGAGUAAUCUGCCCAUCACUUCGGGAUAACUCCGGGAAACCGGUGCUAAUACCGAAUAUGACCACUUCAGGCAUCUGAUGGUGGUGGAAAGUUCCGGCGGUGAUGGAUGAGCUCGCGGCCUAUCAGCUUGUUGGUGGGGUAGUGGCCUACCAAGGCUUCGACGGGUAGCCGGCCUGGGAGGGUGACCGGCCACACUGGGACUGAGACACGGCCCAGACUCCUACGGGAGGCAGCAGUGGGGAAUAUUGGACAAUGGGCGAAAGCCUGAUCCAGCAACGCCGCGUGAGGGAUGACGGCCUUCGGGUUGUAAACCUCUUUCAGCAGGGACGAAGCGCAAGUGACGGUACCUGCAGAAGAAGCACCGGCCAACUACGUG
rnacentral:rRNA from 1 species